rnacentral:rRNA from 1 species
AUGCAGUCGAGCGGGGAAGAGUAGCUUGCUACUUAACCUAGCGGCGGACGGGUGAGUAAUGCUUAGGAAUCUGCCUAUUAGUGGGGGACAACAUCUCGAAAGGGAUGCUAAUACCGCAUACGUCCUACGGGAGAAAGCAGGGGACCUUCGGGCCUUGCGCUAAUAGAUGAGCCUAAGUCGGAUUAGCUAGUUGGUGGGGUAAAGGCCUACCAAGGCGACGAUCUGUAGCGGGUCUGAGAGGAUGAUCCGCCACACUGGGACUGAGACACGGCCCAGACUCCUACGGGAGGCAGCAGUGGGGAAUAUUGGACAAUGGGGGGAACCCUGAUCCAGCCAUGCCGCGUGUGUGAAGAAGGCCUUUUGGUUGUAAAGCACUUUAAGCGAGGAGGAGGCUACCGAGAUUAAUACUCUUGGAUAGUGGACGUUACUCGCAGAAUAAGCACCGGCUAACUCUGUGCCAGCAGCCGCGGUAAUACAGAGGGUGCAAGCGUUAAUCGGAUUUACUGGGCGUAAAGCGCGCGUAGGUGGCCAAUUAAGUCAAAUGUGAAAUCCCCGAGCUUAACUUGGGAAUUGCAUUCGAUACUGGUUGGCUAGAGUAUGGGAGAGGAUGGUAGAAUUCCAGGUGUAGCGGUGAAAUGCGUAGAGAUCUGGAGGAAUACCGAUGGCGAAGGCAGCCAUCUGGCCUAAUACUGACACUGAGGUGCGAAAGCAUGGGGAGCAAACAGGAUUAGAUACCCUGGUAGUCCAUGCCGUAAACGAUGUCUACUAGCCGUUGGGGCCUUUGAGGCUUUAGUGGCGCAGCUAACGCGAUAAGUAGACCGCCUGGGGAGUACGGUCGCAAGACUAAAACUCAAAUGAAUUGAC